rnacentral:rRNA from 1 species
GACGAACGCUGGCGGCGUGCUUAACACAUGCAAGUCGAACGGAAAGGCCCUGCUUUUGUGGGGUGCUCGUGUGGCGAACGGGGGAGUAACACGUGAGUAACCUGCCCUUGACUGUGGGAUAACUUCAGGAAACUGGGGCGAAUACCGGAGAGGAGAUCCUGCUGCAUGGGGGGGGUUGGAAAGUUUCGGCGGUUGGGGCUGGACUCGAGGCUUAUGCGCUGGUUGGGGGAGUAGGGGCUUACCAAGGCUUUGACGGGUAGCCGGCCUGAGAGGGUGGACGGCGUCAUUGCUACUGAGAGACGCACCAGACGCCUACGGGCCGCAGCAGUGGGGAAUAUUGCGCAAUGGGCGGAAGCCUGAUGCAGAAACGCCGCGUGCGGAAUGCCGUCUUUCGAGUUGUAAACCGCUUUCGCCUGUGCCGAGGCGUGAGUGACGGUAAUUGGUAAAGAAGCACCGGCUAACUACGUG